AGAAGUCGUGAAUGAUGAUCUCUGAGA
rnacentral:sRNA from 1 species